CGCGUAGGUGGUUUGUUAAGCGAGAUGUGAAAGCCCCGGGCUUAACCUGGAACGGCAUUUCGAACUGGCAGGCUAGAGUGUGGUAGAGGGUAGUGGAAUUCCCUGUGUAGCGGUGAAAUGCGUAGAUAUAGGAAGGAACACCGAUGGCGAAGGCACUUUACUGGGCUAUUACUAACACUCAGAGACGAAAGCUAGGGUAGCAAAUG
rnacentral:rRNA from 1 species